rnacentral:rRNA from 1 species
UACGGGGGAGCAAGCGUUGUUCGGAUUUACUGGGCGUAAAGGGCGCGUAGGCGGUCGUGACAAGUCACUUGUGAAAUCUCCGGGCUUAACUCGGAACGGUCAAGUGAUACUGUCGGACUAGAGUACAGAAGGGGCAACUGGAAUUCUCGGUGUAGCGGUGAAAUGCGUAGAUAUCGAAGAGGAACACCUGCGGCGAAGGCGGGUUGCUGGGGCC